rnacentral:rRNA from 1 species
GACGAACGCUGGCGGCGUGCUUAACACACGCAAGUCGAACGGAAAGGCCCUGCUUUUGUGGGGUGCUCGAGUGGCGAACGGGUGAGUAACACGUGAGUAACCUGCCCUUGACUUUGGGAUAACUUCAGGAAACUGGGGCUAAUACCGGAUAGGAGCUCCUGCUGCAUGGUGGGGGUUGGAAAGUUUCGGCGGUUGGGGAUGGACUCGCGGCUUAUCAGCUUGUUGGCGGGGUAGUGGCUUACCAAGGCUUUGACGGGUAGCCGGCCUGAGAGGGUGACCGGCCACAUUGGGACUGAGAUACGGCCCAGACUCCUACGGGAGGCAGCAGUGGGGAAUAUUGCACAAUGGGCGGAAGCCUGAUGCAGCAACGCCGCGUGCGGGAUGACGGCCUUCGGGUUGUAAACCGCUUUCGCCUGUGACGAGGCGUGAGUGACGGUAAUGGGUAAAGAAGCACCGGCUAACUACGUG